rnacentral:lncRNA from 1 species
UUCUCUCGGACCAGAUCUUUCGAUCGAGGAUGAGACUGAUCAUAUUUCACCGAUCUUGAUCUUGAGCUCGAUGCCCAUUCUCAUUGAUUUCAUCAUUUUGUAUUAGGUUACUUAGUUGUAUUUUGUAGAUUGGAUGUAUGAGAGCUUUAUGCUCAUGGACAUAUAUUAUGACUCUUGAAACCUCUCUUUUUGUUGUAAUU